CGUACGAUACGAGUUUAUCAUGGCUCAGGAUGAACGCUAGCGGCAGGCCUAAUACAUGCAAGUCAAGGGGAUAGCAAUAUCACCGGCGGACGGGUGCGUAACGCGUACACAACGUGCCCAAGGGCGGAGGAAAGCGGCGGGAAACUGCCGGUAAUACUCCAUGGUGUUGUUGAGUGGCAUCACUUAACAACUAAAGUACAAGCGCCCUUGGAUCGGUGUGCGUUCGAUUAGCUAGUUGGCGGGGUAACGGCCCACCAAGGCUUCGAUCGAUAGGGGGUGUGAGAGCAUGACCCCCCCACACGGGUACUGAGACACGGACCCGACUCCUACGGGAGGCAGCAGUAAGGAAUAUUGGACAAUGGGCGGAAGCCUGAUCCAGCCAUGCCGCGUGAAGGACGAAGGCGCUCAGCGUUGUAAACUUCUUUUGGAUGGGAACAAUAACUCCGACUUGUCGGAACUUGAGGGUACCAUCAGAAUAAGCACCGGCUAACUCCGUG
rnacentral:rRNA from 1 species